rnacentral:rRNA from 1 species
CAUGUCUUUUUGAGAAUAAUUUAAGGUCUAACCUGCCCGCUGAGGUUUUGAAUGGCCGCGGUAUUUUGACCGUGCAAAGGUAGCAUAAUCAUUAGUUUUUUGAUUGAAAGCUGGAAUGAAUGGUUGGACGAGAAAAUUUCUGUCUCUGACUAAUUUUUUUUAAAAUUUAACUUUUGAGUGAAAAGGCUCAAAUUUUUUUGAAAGACGAGAAGACCCUAUAGAGUUUUAUUAAUUUGAUUAGACUUUUUUGUAAAGAAUUUAUAUAUAUUUCUUUUUUAGUUAAUUUUGUUGGGGUGACAGGAAGAUAAAUAAAACUCUUUUUAAUUGUUGGGCAAUUAUUUUUGUUUUUUUGAUUCAUUAUUAUUUGAUUAAAAGUUUAAAUUACCUUAGGGAUAACAGCGUAAUUUUUAUAGAGAGUUCUUAUCGAAAUAAAAGAUUGCGACCUCGAUGUUGGAUUAAAGUUAAUUUUUAGUGCAGGAGCUUUAAAUAUUGGGUCUGUUCGACCUUUAAAACUUUACAUGAUCUGAGU